rnacentral:rRNA from 1 species
UUUACUGAUUCCUCCUUCUUGAAGAACUGUAAUGUCAUUAAUUUGGUGUUGCAGGGAAACAGGACUGUUACUUUGAAAAAAUUAGAGUGUUUAAAGCAAGCUAACGCUUGAAUACAUUAGCAUGGAAUAAUGAAAUAGGACGUUCGAUCCUAUUUUGUUGGUUUCUAGGAUUGACGUAAUGAUUAAUAGGGAUAGUUGGGGGCAUUAGUAUUCAAUUGUCAGAGGUGAAAUUCUUGGAUUUAUUGAAGACUGACUACUGCGAAAGCAUUUGCCAAGGAUGUUUUCAUUAAUCAAGAACGAAAGUUAGGGGAUCGAAGACGAUCAGAUACCGUCGUAGUCUUAACCAUAAACUAUGCCGACUAGGGAUCGGAUGAUGUUAAUUUUUUAAUGACUCAUUCGGCGCCUUACG